GGUGUUUGUUUCUGGCCGGCAGAAAUACACUGACACUUCGUUUGUUUGCUAGUGGUUCGCAGGUGGAUCUCUUCGGAUCUCCUCAGGAGAUAGUUUUACGAAACUUACGGCUCAUAUGCGAGGGAUUUGUAUAUGCCAUUUUGGAUUCCUUACAAGGGAGGGCCAUCUUGAAGUUUGCUCCUGCUUCGCUUCAGAUGACCGCAACUGUACAUAAGAAAUAUUAUCUAUAUAUCUCCUUACCUAUUAGCGUAGGUUUGAUGAUUUUCAAUCUGCUUUUGUAUUAUGGCAAUGUCCCUAGUAUCUGUAAAUGAACUUUUUUGUUUAUUUGUAAGCGGCACUCCACAGGAUGAUACAAAAGGAAAUGGCGAGUUUUGCAAAAAGGAUAGUGUUCAACUGAACAUAUGGCUAGAGACUUUAGUAAAUUUUGUAUUCUGCAAUUAAUUAUUAUUAUUAUUUUUUUUAAAAUGUGAAACUACUACAUUUGACCAAACAUAAAAUUCUGAACGUAUUAUAAAAUGUAAUAUUCAUGUGAACAAAAUUUUCAGCAUCAUUACUCCAGAUUUCAGUGUCACAUGAUCAUUCAGAAUUCAUUCUAUGCUGAUUUGCUGUUUAAGAAACAUUUCUUAUUAUCGAUGUUGAAAACAGUUGUGAAACCAUUUUUCUGUGAAAACCAUGGUAUUUUCAGCAUUCUUUUAAUUGAACUUGCAAAAGAGUAGUAUUACAAGUUUUGUUUAUUUUUAAAUUUUAAGAGUUAAUCAAUCCAUCUAUUCUGUAUGAACCUUUUUUUUUUUUUUUUUUUUUUU